UACGGGGGGGGCAAGCGUUGUUCGGAAUUACUGGGCGUAAAGCGCACGUAGGCGGACUAUUAAGUCAGGGGUGAAAUCCCGGAGCUCAACUCCGGAACUGCCUUUGAUACUGGUAGCCUAGAGAUCGGAAGAGGUGAGUGGAAUUCCCAGUGUAGAGGUGAAAUUCGUAGAUAUUGGGAAGAACACCAGUGGCGAAGGCGGCUCACUGGUCCGAUACUGACGCUGAGGUGCGAAAGCGUGGGGAGCAAACAGG
rnacentral:rRNA from 1 species